UACGUAGGGGGCUAGCGUUGUCCGGAAUCAUUGGGCGUAAAGCGCGUGUAGGCGGUUCGGUAAGUCUGCUGUGAAAGUCGAGGGCUCAACCCUCGAAUGCCGGCGGAUACUGUCGGGCUAGAGUCCGGAAGAGGCGAGUGGAAUUCCUGGUGUAGCGGUGAAAUGCGCAGAUAUCAGGAGGAACACCGAUGGCGAAGGCAGCUCGCUGGGACGGUACUGACGCUGAGACGCGAAAGCGUGGGGAGCAAACAGG
rnacentral:rRNA from 1 species